GGGGAUUUAGCUCAGCGGCAUAAGCGCCUGCCUUGGAAGCAAGCAGUGGUGAGUUCAAUCCCCG
rnacentral:tRNA from 1 species